rnacentral:lncRNA from 1 species
GCUGGGAGAGCUAGAAACAGGGUAACUGUUGCCUGGGGUUACAUCAAUAAACUUCAGUAAAAUUGUGGUUCUGAUCACCAGGAGGACAAGGGAUGGGUGUUAGGUUGACACUUGCUCAGGUUCUCUAGAAGCAGAGCCAAAGAUGGAGAUUCUUGGGCCAGCCCUGACAGCUUGGGGGUUAAAGUUCAGCACGCUCUGCUUCAGUGGCCUGGGUUCAGUUCCCGGGUGUAGACCUACCACUUGUCUGUGAGUAGUUACUGGAGAAUCCGUGAAGAAGUGAAGGAAUCAGGAUGCGGCCAGCAACAUGUGAUUCCAUCAGAAGUCCAGCCUCCGCCUCAUUCUGAGGACCAUGUUCUCUGACACCCGUCCCAUCCAGAGCUAAUUCUAAAGGAUAUCUCAACACCAAAAGUUAAACAGCAUCUAGACGUGUAAAUGAGGGAGGGAGCAUAACCAACUCGCAUUUAAGUUCGUCUUUUCUAUGAGGACCCAGGAUAUGAGAAGAGACAGAAGCCCAUUAAACACAAGAAAUCAGGAAUCAGAGCUCAGGAAACCAGCAGGAGACUCCCAGAGAUGAGAAAAUCCUGAAGGUCAGAGGGAGAGCACCCAGCAGAUAACAAGAGAACGGCCAACCUCAGACGCAGACACCAGCACUGGAUCCCCACAUCCUCAGUGUCAUUAAAGGAGGAAAAUAGCACAGUGGGGACACGAGUUUUCACACAAUCAGCCCUCCCCCUUUGCUUGUGGCUGUCCCUGCCCACGGUGUCCUGCGGUGCUGUGCCAUUUCAUCCCACAGUUAGCCUGACGAGCAGUCCUACACACGGGACCAAAUCAUGCCGUCAUCCAGGAGGAGAUGCACUGAGACCUCUUUGCCUCAUCACUGCUGUAGCUGCUGUGAGAAUGGCCUGCCUGGCUCAGGAGCCCAAAAUGUGUGGUCCCG